GGACACAUGGGGACACUAGGCACACAGAGACAUGGGACACAGACACUGGGAGACUUGGGGACACUGAGACACUAGGGACACUGGCUGGGGGACAUAGUGUCUCCGUGUCCCAAUGUCUCCCAAUGUCCCUAUGUCUCACAGCGUCCCCAUGUGUCUCAGCAUCCCCAUGUGUCCCCUAGUGUCUGUGUCCCCAUGUUUUCCAGUGUCCCCAAGUGUCUGUGUCCCCAGGUCUCACAGUGCCUGUGUCCCCAUGUGUCCUAGUGUCUCAGUGUCCCCUAGUGUCUGUGUUCCCAUGUGUCCCCUAGUGUCUGUGUCCCCAUGUCCCCAAGUGUCUCAGUGUCCCCUAGUGUCUCAGUCUCCCCAUGUUUUGCAGUGUCCCCAAGUGUCUCAGUGUUCCCAGGUCUCCCAGUGUCUGUGUCCUAGUGUCUCAGUGUCCCCUAGUGUAUGUGUCAUCAUGUGUCCCCUAGUGUCUGUGUCCCUUAGUGUCUCAGUGUCCCCAUGUGUCCCCUAGUGUCUCAGUGUCCCCAUGUGUCCCUGCUGCCUUUCCCCCC